GACGAACGCUGGCGGCGCGCUUAACACAUGCAAGUCGAACGGAAAGGCCUGCUUUCCCUUGUGGAUUGCGGGUACUCGAGUGGCGAACGGGUGAGUAACACGUGAGUGAUCUGCCCCCAACUUGGGUAUAAGCCUGGGAAACUGGGUCUAAUUCCCGAUAGGACUGCAGGGUGGUGCCUGUGGUGGAAAACGAUUUUCUAGUGGUUGGGGAUGAGCUCGCAGCCUAUCAGCUUGUUGGUGGGGUAAUGGCCUACCAAGGCGGCGACGGGUAGCCGGCCUGAGAGGGUGGACGGCCACAUUGGGACUGAGAUACGGCCCAGACUCCUACGGGAGGCAGCAGUGGGGAAUAUUACACAAUGGGCGGAAGCCUGAUGCAGCGACGCCGCGUGGGGGAUGACGGCCUUCGGGUUGUAAACUCCUUUCGACCGCGAGGAAGCCACCUGGUUGGAAGGGUGGUGACGGUAGUGGUAGAAGAAGCACCGGCUAACUACGUG
rnacentral:rRNA from 1 species